rnacentral:rRNA from 1 species
UUUAGUGAGAAGAACGAUCUGGAAAGUUCGACCACAGACGGUGACAGUCCUGUAUUCGAAGCUAAACGAAGCAUAGUGUAAUCCUGAGUAGCGCGGGACACGAGGAAUCCUGCGUGAAUCCGCCGGGACCAUCCGGCAAGGCUAAAUACUCCCGAGAGACCGAUAGUGAACCAGUACCGUGAGGGAAAGGUGAAAAGCACUUCGAACAGAAGAGUGAAAUAGUACCUGAAACCGUGCGCCUACAAGCGGUCGGAGCUCUGCAAAGAGUGACGGCGUGCCUUUUGCAUAAUGAACCUACGAGUUACCGUGUCCGGCGAGGUUAAGGGCAAUGAUGCCCGGAACCGAAGCGAAAGCGAGUCCGAA